GUGGAUUAGAUACCCUGGUAGUCCACGCCGUAAACGAUGAGUGCUAGAUGUUUCUGGUAUUGACCCCGGAGGCGUCGUAGCUAACGCGUUAAGCACUCCGCCUGGGGAGUACGGCCGCAAGGCUAAAACUCAAAGGAAUUGACGGGGGCCCGCACAAGCGGUGGAGCAUGUGGUUCAAUUCGACGCAACGCGAAGAACCUUACCUGGGUUGGAACCCUCCAGAAGUCCGCAGAGAUGUGGAUGUGCCCGCAAGGGAAUUGGAUGUCCAGGUGCUGCACGGCCGUCGCCAGCU
rnacentral:rRNA from 1 species